GACGAACGCUGGCGGCGUGCUUAACACAUGCAAGUCGAACGGAAAGGCCUGCUUUCCCUUGUGGAUUGCGGGUACUCGAGUGGCGAACGGGUGAGUAACACGUGAGUGAUCUGCCCCCAACUUGGGUAUAAGCCUGGGAAACUGGGUCUAAUUCCCGAUAGGACUGCAGGGUGGUGCCUGUGGUGGAAAACGAUUUUCUAGUGGUUGGGGAUGAGCUCGCGGCCUAUCAGCUUGUUGGUGGGGUAAGGGCCUACCAAGGCGGCGACGGGUAGCCGGCCUGAGGGGGUGGACGGCCACAUUGGGACUGAGAUACGGCCCAGACUCCUACGGGAGGCAGCAGUGGGGAAUAUGGCACAAUGGGCGGAAGCCUGAUGCAGCGACGCCGCGUGGGGGAUAACGGCCUUCGGGUUGUAAACUCCUUUCGACCGCGAGGAAGCCACCUGGCUGGAGGGGUGGUGACGGUAGUGGUAGAAGAAGCACCGGCUAACUACGUG
rnacentral:rRNA from 1 species